UAAGCCACCUAGGUGCCCCUUUAUUGCAAGUCUUAAUCAAAAUUCCAGCAGGAUUCAAUAAACUUAUCCCAAAAAACAUUUAUUGGAGAAAAAAGAUCCAUAAAAGGCUAAGUCAACUUUAUAUUUUCUUUAUCAGAUAAUAAGCAAUAUGAGACCAUAGAAAUAAUGUAUCAUUGAUUCAAGAGCUGAAAUAAAGCCAAAAGAACAUAAUAGAGAAUUCAGAGAUAGACCCAUGUAUAUUUGAGGACUUAAUACAUAGUAAUAUGGCACCAUGAAACAAUGGAGAGAAGAUGGAUUAUUUGGUACAGUGUUUAGGGAAAAUAGGUCUUUAUAGUGAAAAAAAAAACUAUUUUUAUUUAAACGUGCAUACACCUAAUGAUUUCAAUAUCCAGAUGUGAAAAGUAAAACUAUAACUAAAUAGAGGAAACUGUAGAAUAGCUUUGUGAUGUAUGCUUGGGAAAGAUUUCACAAAACUUAAAAAACUUGGAAGUAUAAAACAUGAGAAAAAAUUUGAUGACUUCUGUUUUCCUGAAAAUUAAAAAUUUGUUUUUAAUGAAGGACACCUGAGAAAGUUAAUGGCCAAUAACUGGCAGUAAUAUUUAAAAUUGAAAAAUGAGUAAUACGUAUAAAACGGACCUUAAUUCCUGACACGCCUCAGAGUCACUGGGAGCCUGUGUUUUGGUGUCACCUUUGUGCCUCACCUGCCUUCUCUGUGGGUGGGGAUGGCUGCCCGUAUUUAUGUAAGCCCACUCCAUGUGAUAGAGAUUCAGGAUGAGGCCACCAGUUGAGAAAGAUUGUUGUGGGUACUGUCCUGAAGACUUAAUAUAACGUAGUUGUGGGUUUAUUAUUUUUUAUCUUUCCUAGAACUCAUUUUGUUCCCUCAAUGACUAUUUGACUUUUCCUUAAUUCUGGAUAAUUCUGGCCAUUAUCCCUUCAAAUAUUUUCUCUUGUCCAGUCUCAUUGUUCUUGCCUUUCAGAACUCAUUUUAUUUUAUUUUUAUUCUUAUUUUCUUACUCUUAUUCUUAUUUUUUGAGAGAGAGGUGGGGCGGGGGGAGAGAGAACCUUAAGCAGGCUCCAUACCCAGCGUGGAGCCUGAUGCAGGGCUCCGUUCCAUGACCCUGAGAUCAUGACCUGAGCCAAAAUCAGGAGUCGAUAAGCCACCCGGGCGUCCUUGGAACUUCUUUUAAGUGAAUAUUUGGACUUAGUCUGCCAUCUGAAGUCUCUUCAUGUUUCCCAUCCUCUCAACUCUAGGAGCCGCAUUCUGUGUGGUUUCUUCACACCCGUCUUCCAGUUCACAAGCCCACUGUUCAGCUGUUUCUAAUCAGGUCUUAACCCACCAACCGGAAGUUUAUGUUCUGUUGCCCUGCUCUUAUUUCCAGCUUCACUUUGGUUGUCUUCAGUCUUCCGGUUCUUUCUUAUAACAGCUUAUUCUUCGAUUGUGUUCCUAGCCAUUUUAAACAUACUGAUUUGAAGACACAUGUGAUGGCUCUGUCGUCUGCGGUGUUGAGUACUCCUUCCUGCUGGCAUUGUGUCCACUAACUCUCAUUCAUGGGAAAACCUCCAGAGAUCCUUUAGCAGAGCUUACCUUGAGGGUCCUGCAAGGCUUUAGUGGAGGAGUGGCCUGGGGGUUCUGAGGUUUGCUCUGCUGGGGGCUCCAGGAAUAUUAGUAGCUGAGACCACUUUUUUUUUUUUUGGUUAGUUUCUUGAUAUGGAUUUCCUUUUAUCACGUAGCACAAGCUAAAACUGCAAACUCCCUGUUAGGCAGCCCUCUGUCAUGGAUUUUGGAGGUGAUUUCCUCACCUCAGGCUGAGACAUCUCAUCUCCCUGCUGUCUGGAUGCCCUUUCUUGUCCAUGCUUCACUCAGGUCUAAACACGUGAAUCUUCUGGCCUCGUGCGGGGUUUUUGGCCCAACUCCCUUUAUCAUGAGACCCCGAGUCCUCACCUUCUGUGUCCAUAUGGUGAUUAAAGCCUGAGAUCCCCCUCUAGCACACACACACUUUGCUGUAACAGAGACCGAUUUCCUUGGGCAGAAAGUGAUGUCAUAAACUUGUCCCUCUGGCUGUCAUUUCCUUUUCCAGGCUUGUCGCUAUUUUCCUGCAGCUCAGCCAAGAGCCAAUUCUCAGGCUCUCCAAGCCUCAGAAUGCUGGUCCCUUCAGUAGUCACCACCCUCGACUUUGCAAGAGCUACGGUGAGACUUUCCACCCACGUGGUUGUCACGGGAGCAGCAAAGACUCAACACCUGACCCUGCGUAGGCCACAUUUUGAAGCUGGAACUCAGAGAAAGAAGUGGCCGAAGCUGAGGGCCAGUAGCAUAAGUGAGAUAAGACUUCUGUUGCCAUCUGUCCACAGCUGUGGCUUUUCCUGACUCCAAAAUCCAUUUUUGUUGUUAAGCACCUUUAGACAUUCCAAUAACCGUAUAAUAAAAUGCCUUUCUACUCAACUCGUCCAAGCUGGCUUUCUGUCCCUCACCACGAAGAAAGUGAGUCACACGGCUCUCCGGGCAGAGCAGUGGGGAGAAUCUCCCUGUCCCCCUUCUCGGUUCAGCAUGGCCACGUGGCUCCAGAGGGACUCGUCUCGCAUCCCGUGUGUUUAGACAAACCUCUCUCACUCGCGUGCCAUCUCCCUGCCGUAGUGCUUCCCGUGCAGCCCCAGCCCCACAGGGCACCCAGACCACAGGGACCCACUGAUGGAGACAGCCGGGGACACACUGCUUGUGUUCCGUUUACACGGACAAAGGCCUGACCUUCAGAGUGGAAUUCCUCGCCAAAUUCAAACGAAACUCACAGGACUCAGAGCUACUGUGUUUAUCCCCCCGGACACUGUUGCUUUUCGUAAUGGUUCAAAAGUUUGGAUAUAGAAGUGACUCGGCCAUCUGAAAGUUAUUUUUCUGUUGUUUGAAGAUCUGUUCUAAGAAAGGGUUAUUAAUGUUGUAAGAUGUCAUUAGUAUGAGAUUUGUAGCAGUGUUUUGCAGACUGAGGUAUUUAGAACAGAUAAACCUCAUUUUUUUGUUUUUGGUCCCAGAUGUGUGUGGUUCAUCAUCAUCUCUGAUACGGUUCAAGGAAAGAGAAAUUUUAAAAUAAAUUUAACACACGUC